UGGGGAAUUUUGGACAAUGGGGGAAACCCUGAUCCAGCCAUCCCGCGUGUGCGAUGAAGGCCUUCGGGUUGUAAAGCACUUUUUGCAGGAAAGAAACGUCAUGGGUUAAUACCCCGUGAAACUGACGGUACCUGCAGAAUAAGCACCGGCUAACUACGUGCCAGCAGCCGCGGUAAUACGUAGGGUGCAAGCGUUAAUCGAAUUACUGGGCGUAAAGCGUGCGCAGGCGGUUCGGAAAGAAAGAUGUGAAAUCCCAGAGCUCAACUUUGGAACUGCAUUUUUAACUACCGGGCUAGAGUGUGUCAGAGGGAGGUGGAAUUCCGCGUGUAGCAGUGAAAUGCGUAGAUAUGCGGAGGAACACCGAUGGCGAAGGCAGCCUCCUGGGAUAACACUGACGCUCAUGCACGAAAGCGUGGGGAGCAAACAGG
rnacentral:rRNA from 1 species